ACGUCGUCGGGGGCGCGCCGGAGACGCCCGGACAGCGGGGGGCUCUCUGACCCGGCGGCUGCGAAUAAAUGGCCGGGAGGUCCGGGCGGCGCGAUGCUGGGCUCUCCCGCGGACUCGGACCGGCCUCGGCCGUCGCUCGGAUCCUGUUUUCUUCGUCCCUUUGGCCUUGUCCCCCGCGGCUGACCGCGGACAGGGAGACAGCUCUUGGUCUCUGCCACCUUCCGCUCCCCUCUGCGGCUGCCCAGGCCUCCGACGAGGGCCAGGUGACAUUUCACUCUGUCAUCUGUGUUUUGGACAUUUUCUCAUAAUGGAGUUCCCUGAUUUGGGGAAGCAUUGUUCAGAAAAAACUUGCAAGCAGCUAGAUUUUCUUCCGUUAGAAUGUGAUGCAUGUAAACAAGAUUUCUGUAAAGAUCAUUUUACCUACGCUGCACAUAAAUGUCCCUUUGCAUUCAAGAAGGAUGUUCAGGUCCCAGUGUGCCCACUUUGUAACAGCCCUGUCCCAGUAAAAAAGGACGAGAUCCCAGAUGUGGUGGUCGGUGCGCACAUGGAUGGAGGCUGUAAACGUCACCCUGGGAGGAAGAAAGAGGAGGAUUUGCUUUCAUUACAGGAAUUCCUCCCAAGAUGGAAAGUGAAUGUGGUUUUCUAGAAUCAUUCUGUUAGUGUGUGGUUUUUCCUAAGCUCCGCCUGGGAAAUGUCAAGGAUGUAAAGUCAGACAUGGGCGUUCCUGCUUUGGCGGUGUCGGUGCUCGUUCUGAAGUCCCGCGUCUGUGGUCUUUCCCACGUCGUGGUCAGUCGUGCCCACACGCCAGGUCCGCAGCUGACCCCGCGCGUGCGCCUCCCAGCCACGCGGCCUCUGCCCGGUCCCGCGUCACCCGCGCUGCCUCUGCUGCUGUCGAUUUCUGAGCCUUCGGGGAUUCCGUGUCACAGGUGGAGAGUAAAGUGACGAUGUGACUGUGUUCAAACUGGCCUCUUUCCGAACGUGAUUUGCACUUUGUGGACACUUUUAUGCUCUAGCACUUGCACACUUCCCACCGCGAGCAGCUCUGCCCCGAGCUGAGCCGGUCAGGGGCUUCUGUCCCUUAACCUCUGUCCCUUAAACCACCGACAGUGGAUCUCACUGUGUCUUCCUCACGUGGCUUGUGUGGCGAUCAGCCGUCUGAGCCCAGGCACGGGGGCGGGACUACACCUUCCCUGUUAGGGGUCCUUGUCCGGAGGUGGCCCCAGCCCGCCGCUCCUGUUCCACUGAGAGAACAGCCUGUGACCCUCUGACUGCAGGCAUUGGGGUGACACCGAGGGCUUUGGGGCCUGUCAGGAGAGCCGUCCUCUCCCGGGACCUCAGGGAACCGGAUGAAGAGAGAUACAUCCCAGUCGUAACCCCAGGGCGUCCAGCCGUGCGUUCCAGACAGCCCGCUGCUUGCGGAUGAACAAAAAUCCAAGCAGUUACUCUUUCUUUUUUGGUUUCAUAGCCUCAAACUAUAAUGGUUGUGACCAGCUAGAGGGGU